UCCCGAGUGGCUCAGAGAUUAAAGUGUCUGCCUGCAAUGCAGGAGAACUGGGUUUGAUCCCUGAGUCGGGAA
rnacentral:tRNA from 1 species